rnacentral:lncRNA from 1 species
AAAGUGAGGUGUUUUCAGUGAUUCUCUUUACCCACUACAGACCUGGUGCUGUUGAGCCAAAAGAGGGUUGAAUCUUUAUUGAAGCAAAAAUCAAUUUCUUCUGCAUAAGGACAGUAGGAAAUUCAGCCUUCAACCCUUUGAAUACAAAGUUUUCAACACAUGCAGUACCACCAACCCAUGUUCCUGUUGAAAAGAAAUGUGAAAACUUAAGGGAAGAAGAAGAAAAUCAGAAGUAUACCUAUGAAUGAGCCAUUAAUAUCACAACAUUGAGUGCACUGACUGACAAGUCAGCUGUCCUCAAGGUUAGAAAGUUUCAU